rnacentral:rRNA from 1 species
UGAAUACGAGACGCUACGGCGUCGAAGCAGUCUAUGUCAGACUUCCAAGAAAAGCUCGCAAUGUCAUAAACAAAUAAUGCCUGUACCAUAACCGACACAGGUGGGUAGGUAGAGUAUACUAAGGGGCGCGAGAUAACUCUCUCUAAGGAACUCGGCAAAAUGACUCCGUAACUUCGGGAGAAGGAGUGCCUUAUUUAUAAGGUUGCAAUAACAAGAUCCAAGCAACUGUUUAUCAAAAACACAGGUCUCCGCUAAGUCGUAAGACGAUGUAUGGGGGCUGACGCCUGCCCAGUGCCAGAAGGUUAAAGAAGUUGGUUAGCAUUCGCGAAGCUGAUAACUGAAGCCCUGGUGAACGGCGGCCGUAACAAUAACGGUCCUAAGGUAGCGAAAUUCCUUGUCGGGUAAGUUCCGACCCGCACGAAAGGCGUAAUGAUUUGGAUGCUGUCUCGGAGAGGGGCUCGGUGAAAUAGACUUGUCUGUGAAGAUGCGGACUACCUGCACCUGGACAGAAAGACCCUAUGAAGCUUUACUGUAACUUGAAAUUGAAAUUGGACUUUAUUUGCGCAGCAUAGGUGGGAGGCGUUGAGAGUAUUCUUGCGGGAAUAUUGGAGCCAUCAGUGAGAUACCACUCUUGUAAUGUUAGAUUUCUAACUUUGUAUCAUUAUCUGGUCAAAGAACAGUUUCAGGCGGGCAGUUUGACUGGGGCGGUCGCCUCCCAAACGGUAACGGAGGCGUACAAAGGUUUCCUCUGAACGGGUAGAAAUCGUAUCUAGAGUGUAAAGGCAUAAGGAAGCUUGACUGUGAGACCUACAAGUCGAGCAGGGACGAAAGUCGGUCUUAGUGAUCUGACGGUGCUGAGUGGAAAGGCCGUCACUCAACGGAUAAAAGUUACUCUAAGGAUAACAGGCUGAUCUCCCCCAAGAGUUCACAUCGACGGGGAGGUUUGGCACCUCGAUGUCGGCUCAUCGCAUCCUGGGGCGGUAGUACGUCCCAAGGGUUGGGCUGUUCGCCCAUGAAAGCGGUACGCGAGCUGGGUUCAGAACGUCGUGAGACAGUUCGGUCCAUAUCCGGUGUAGGCGUUAGAAUAUUGAGAGGAGCCUUCUUUAGUACGAGAGGACCGAGAAGGACAUACCUCUGGUGUACCAGUUAUCGUGCCAACGGUAAACGCUGGGUAGCUAUGUAUGGAGAGGAUAACCGCUGAAAGCAUCUAAGUGGGAAGCCCACCUCAAGAUAAGUAUUCUCAUCACGUAAGUGAAUAAGGUCACGGUGAGACUAACCGUUUGAUAGGCAUUAAGUGUAAAUCUAGUAAUAGGUGAGCUGAGAUGUGCUAACAGACCGAAGACUC